GGGAGUAUAUAGCUAGCAGUCGCGUAUGUGUGAAGAAAUUGAUCAUAUUACGUACGUUCAAAAGCAAUGCAACUUUUUAAUUACUUUUUUUUUUGCGAGGAGCAACUUUUUAAUUACGUCAUAAUACGUGUAGCUCGUUGGCCUGGAUGUGCUUAAUUAUCAAAAUUCGACACGUCGGAUUAGUUAUAGUCAAUCUAAUCGGCCAAGGAAAGAGACCGAAUAAUCGUACGUCUACUCAUCAUGUGUUACUAUAUUUCCACGUACGUACAAUUGAUCGAUGUAUAAAAUUAAAAGCUAUAUAUAACAUAUGUAUUUCAUUGAUGCUAGGGGCAGAGAAAAAAAGGGAAAGAAAGAAAAGAUAGGAUCUUGUAGUAAAAAAUAUGGCGGGAAAAUUGAAGAGAGGAGGGGAUG
rnacentral:lncRNA from 1 species